rnacentral:rRNA from 1 species
UCGAACGAGGUCCAUGCAGUGGCAACACUGCGGAAGACCUAAUGGCGAACGGGUGAGUAACACGUGAGGAACUUGCCCCGGAGACCGGGAUAACCCUCCGAAAGGAGAGCUAAUACCGGAUGUCCUCACCGAGUCGCAUGGCUUGGUGAGGAAAUGGAUUCCGCUCCGGGAGAGCCUCGCGGCCUAUCAGCUAGUUGGUGGGGUAACGGCCCACCAAGGCGUCGACGGGUAGCUGGUCUGAGAGGACGAUCAGCCACACUGGGACUGAGACACGGCCCAGACUCCUACGGGAGGCAGCAGUGGGGAAUCUUGCGCAAUGGGCGAAAGCCUGACGCAGCAACGCCGCGUGCGGGAUGAAGGCCCUCGGGUUGUAAACCGCUUUCAGUGGGGACGAACCAAGACGGUACCCACAGAAGAAGGUCCGGCCAACUACGUGCCAGCAGCCGCGGUAACACGUAGGGACCAAGCGUUG